UGGGGAAUUUUGGACAAUGGGCGCAAGCCUGAUCCAGCCAUGCCGCGUGCGGGAAGAAGGCCUUCGGGUUGUAAACCGCUUUUGUCAGGGAAGAAAUCUUCUGAGUUAACACCUCGGGAGGAUGACGGUACCUGAAGAGUAAGCACCGGCUAACUACGUGCCAGCAGCCGCGGUAAUACGUAGGGUGCAAGCGUUAAUCGGAAUUACUGGGCGUAAAGCGUGCGCAGGCGGUUUUGUAAGACAGAGGUGAAAUCCCCGGGCUCAACCUGGGAACUGCCUUUGUGACUGCAAGGCUUGAGUGCGGCAGAGGGGGAUGGAAUUCCGCGUGUAGCAGUGAAAUGCGUAGAUAUGCGGAGGAACACCGAUGGCGAAGGCAAUCCCCUGGGCCUGCACUGACGUUCAUGCACGAAAGCGUGGGGAGCAAACAGGAUUAGAUAGCCCUGGUAGUCCACGCCCUAAACGAUGUCAACUGGUUGUUGGGAAGGUUCCUUCUCAGUAACGUAGCUAACGCGUGAAGUUGACCGCCUGGGGAGUACGGCCGCAAGGUUGAAACUCAAAUGAAUUGACGGGGU
rnacentral:rRNA from 1 species